rnacentral:rRNA from 1 species
ACGGGUGAGUAACACGUGGGUGAUCUGCCCUGCACUUCGGGAUAAGCCUGGGAAACUGGGUCUAAUACCGGAUAUGACCACAUGAUGCAUGUCGUGUGGUGGAAAGCUUUUGCGGUGUGGGAUGGGCCCGCGGCCUAUCAGCUUGUUGGUGGGGUCACGGCCUACCAAGGCGACGACGGGUAGCCGGCCUGAGAGGGUGACCGGCCACACUGGGACUGAGAUACGGCCCAGACUCCUACGGGAGGCAGCAGUGGGGAAUAUUGCACAAUGGGCGCAAGCCUGAUGCAGCGACGCCGCGUGAGGGACGACGGCCUUCGGGUUGUAAACCUCUUUCAGCACAGACGAAGCGCGAGUGACGGUAUGUGCAGAAGAAGGACCGGCCAACUACGUGCCAGCAGCCGCGGUAAUACGUAGGGUCCGAGCGUUGUCCGGAAUUACUGGGCGUAAAGAGCUCGUAGGUGGUUUGUCGCGUUGUUCGUGAAAACUCACAGCUCAACUGUGGGCGUGCGGGCGAUACGGGCAGACUAGAGUACAGCAGGGGAGACUGGAAUUCCUGGUGUAGCGGUGGAAUGCGCAGA